rnacentral:snRNA from 1 species
GCAAAGGAGAUCUGGUUGCGAUGCCUGUCACCCCAUUGAUCACCAGAGUUGAUUCAGCUAAUCUGACAGGCUAGGCGGGUGUCCCCUUCCUUCCUCAGAGCUCCGUGUGUGUCCCUCCCCAAGCUGCUUGUUUACUGGCUCGACCUUUCUCAAUGGAGGAGGAUGGUCUUCCAUCAAGGGUGGCUGUGCUCCCCGGCCACAACCUCCAAACAAGCUCUCAAGGAUCAUGAGCUGGGGCCAGUUUGGCUACCUCAAUAUAAAAAAGUCUGAAAAUUUUUCAUGGAUUUU